rnacentral:rRNA from 1 species
AUUGAACGCUGGCGGCAGGCUUAACACAUGCAAGUCGAGCGGUAACAGGCCUUCGGGUGCUGACGAGCGGCGGACGGGUGAGUAAUGCAUAGGAAUCUACCUAGUAGUGGGGGAUAACCCGGGGAAACUCGGACUAAUACCGCAUACGACCUACGGGUGAAAGCAGGGGAUCUUCGGACCUUGCGCUAUUAGAUGAGCCUAUGUCGGAUUAGCUAGUUGGUGAGGUAAAGGCUCACCAAGGCGACGAUCCGUAGCUGGUCUGAGAGGAUGAUCAGCCACACUGGGACUGAGACACGGCCCAGACUCCUACGGGAGGCAGCAGUGGGGAAUAUUGGACAAUGGGCGCAAGCCUGAUCCAGCCAUGCCGCGUGUGUGAAGAAGGCCUUAGGGUUGUAAAGCACUUUCAUUAGGGAGAAAGGCUGUUUGGCUAAUAUCCAGGCAGAUUGAUGUUACCUAAAGAAGAAGGACCGGCUAACUCCGUGCCAGCAGCCGCGGUAAUACGGAGGGUCCAAGCGUUAAUCGGAAUUACUGGGCGUAAAGCGCGCGUAGGCGGUUAGUUAAGCGAGAUGUGAAAUCCCUGGGGCUCAACCUGGGCAUUGCGUUUCGAACUGGCUAGCUAGAGUACAGUAGAGGGUGGUGGAAUUUCCGGUGUAGCGGUGAAAUGCGUAGAGAUCGGAAGGAACAUCAGUGGCGAAGGCGACCACCUGGACUGAUACUGACGCUGAGGUGCGAAAGCGGGGGGAGCAAACAGGAUUAGAUACCCUGGUAGUCCACGCCGUAAACGAUGUCUACUAGUUGUCGGGGGACUUGAUCCUUUGGUAACGCAGCUAACGCGAUAAGUAGACCGCCUGGGGAGUACGGUCGCAAGAUUAAAACUCAAAUGAAUUGACGGGGGCCCGCACAAGCGGUGGAGCAUGUGGUUUAAUUCGAAGCAACGCGAAGAACCUUACCUACUCUUGACAUCCAGUGAACUUAGCAGAGAUGCUUUGGUGCCUUCGGGAACACUGAGACAGGUGCUGCAUGGCUGUCGUCAGCUCGUGUUGUGAAAUGUUGGGUUAAGUCCCGUAACGAGCGCAACCCUUAUCCUUAGUUACCAUCAUUUAGUUGGGGACUCUAAGGAGACUGCCGGUGACAAACCGGAGGAAGGCGGGGACGACGUCAAGUCAUCAUGGCCCUUACGAGUAGGGCUACACACGUGCUACAAUGGCCGGUACAGAGGGUUGCCAAGCCGCGAGGUGGAGCUAAUCUCACAAAGCCGGUCGUAGUCCGGAUUGGAGUCUGCAACUCGACUCCAUGAAGUCGGAAUCGCUAGUAAUCGUAAAUCAGAAUGUUACGGUGAAUACGUUCCCGGGCCUUGUACUCACCGCCC